GCCAGCAUGGCAUAGUGGUUUGAGCAUUGUCUCACAACUCCAGAGACCAGGGUUCGAAUCCCAGCUUGGCC